CAAGCUGGCUACAAUGUGUGGGUUUGUGGGCUCAAAGCUUGUCGCUUUCGAAGGAGCUGAACCCUAGAGCCUGGCACUGUGGUAUUG
ensembl:miRNA tgu-mir-2977 tgu-mir-2977